GAAAUCCUGUCCGGAAAGGUGCUAACCACACCACCGGUAGCGAGUCUUGAGUCGGUAGCAGUAAUGCUGCCUUCUAAGCGUAGACAGUCAGGUAACAGGGCUGAAAGUGAUAGAGUACCGAAAUCGAUGCAGUCCGGCAGGCCGACGCUUUUAGCAUAGCGGAAGGCAACAGGUGGGUUUAUCGCAAUGGUGAGAUUUCACACACUGCCGCGGUGUCUGAGAGCC
rfam:Clostridium symbiosum WAL-14163 genomic scaffold supercont1.31, whole genome shotgun sequence.